UUGUGGAGGAGGACGCCGAAGGCGGGGCUAAUGACUGGGGUGAAGUCGUAACAAGGUAGCCGUACCGGAAGGUGCGGCUGGAUCACCUCCUAACAGGGAGACAACAAAAUGUUAAAUAUUAAUUUUGUCACCUUAGGUCGAUCGGUAUCUCACAUUCUUAAUUUAUUAAGGAUUUUAUUUCCUAAGUUUUUUCUAGGUCACACCCAUUACUUUUCCUGGGCCAUUAGCUCAGGUGGUUAGAGCGCACCCCUGAUAAGGGUGAGGUCCCUGGUUCAAGUCCAGGAUGGCCCAUAUCUCUAUGUUGGGGGUAUAGCUCAGUUGGUAGAGCGCCUGCUUUGCAAGCAGGAUGUCAGCGGUUCGAGUCCGCUUACCUCCACUGAUCACCACCUCUUCCAUAAUUUAUAGAAGGGAAUUGUUUUGAGUAGUGAUCAAAUUCUGAAAGAAUCUAGCUUCCUAAUCAUUUUUAUUAAGAUGCUGGACUCAUUGAAUUAAUUUCAUUGUUUUCAGAGAACCUUGACAACUGCAUAGAUUAUUUUUAAAGACAAUAAGCAUCUUUAAUGAUGCAGAUUUUUAUUUUUGCAAAUGCAUUAAUAACAAUUCUAUUAAGCUGAUGCUUCAAUUUUGUAGUUAUUGGUCAAGCUACAA
rnacentral:misc_RNA from 1 species